GCAUGGUUCUGAUCAAGUUAAUUGUUCGGUGUUUGCGAACUAAUUCUUUAAAAUUUUUAAUUUAUUUUUGUCUUUUAUCUCAACUUAGUAUAACAGUCUAGCAAUUUGGUUUAAUUCGUUUACUUUGUCAAGCUUUAAUUCUACCGAAUGCCUGUUUUUGUGUGUUAUAGUAAAUAUUUUAGGUGCACAAAAGCUACUAUCUCUAGCUAUAGAAAGUUAUAUUAGUAAUUGAACAUAAAUAAUGCAACGUAGUCAUAUACAUAUUCUAAAU
rnacentral:lncRNA from 1 species